UACAGAGGUCUCAAGCGUUGUUCGGAUUCAUUGGGCGUAAAGAGCUCGUAGGCGGUGUGUCACGUCGGCCGUGAAAACCUGCAGCUUAACUGUGGGCGUGCGGUCGAUACGGGCAUCACUGGAGUUCGGCAGGGGAGACUGGAAUUCCUGGUGUAGCGGUGAAAUGCGCAGAUAUCAGGAGGAACACCGGUGGCGAAGGCGGGUCUCUGGGACGGUACUGACACUGAGGCGCGAAAGCGUGGGGAGCGAACAGG
rnacentral:rRNA from 1 species